GGCUCUUGGGUUGUAAACCUCUUUUCUCAGGGAAUAAAAAAAUGAAGGUACCUGAGGAAUAAGCAUCGGCUAACUCCGUGCCAGCAGCCGCGGUAAUACGGAGGAUGCAAGCGUUAUCCGGAAUGAUUGGGCGUAAAGGGUCCGCAGGUGGCAUUGUAAGUCUGCUGUCAAAGAAUGAGGCUCAACCUCAUCAAGGCAGUGGAAACUACAAAACUAGAGUACGUUAGGGGCAGAGGGAAUUCCCAGUGUAGCGGUGAAAUGCGUAGAGAUUGGGAAGAACACCGGUGGCGAAAGCGCUCUGCUAGGACUGUACUGACGCUGAGGGACGAAAGCUAGGGGAGCGAAUGGGAUUAGAUACCCCAGUAGUCCUAGCCGUAAACGAUGGAUACUAGGCGUUGCCCGUAUCGACCCGGGCAUUGUCGUAGCUAACGCGUUAAGUAUCCCGCCUGGGGAGUACGCACGCAAGUGUGAAACUCAAAGGAAUUGACGGGGGCCCGCACAAGCGGUGGAGUAUGUGGUUUAAUUCGAUGCAACGCGAAGAACCUUACCAGGACUUGACAUGUCGCGAAUCUUUGGGAAACUAGAGAGUGCCUUCGGGAGCGCGAACACAGGUGGUGCAUGGCUGUCGUCAGCUCGUGUCGUGAGAUGUUGGGUUAAGUCCCGCAACGAGCGCAACCCUCGUUCUUAGUUGCCAGCAUUAAGUUGGGCACUCUAGAGAGACUGCCGGUGACAAACCGGAGGAAGGUGGGGAUGACGUCAAGUCAGCAUGCCCCUUACGUCUUGGGCUACACACGUACUACAAUGCUACGGACAGAGGGCAGCUAAACAGCGAUGUCAAGCAAAUCCCGUAAACCGUAGCUCAGUUCAGAUCGCAGGCUGCAACUCGCCUGCGUGAAGGAGGAAUCGCUAGUAAUUGCAGGUCAGCAUACUGCAGUGAAUUCGUUCCCGGGCCUUGUACACACCGCCCGUCACACCAUGGAAGCUGGCAACGCCCGAAGUCAUUACU
rnacentral:rRNA from 1 species